rnacentral:rRNA from 1 species
CGGACGGGUGAGUAACGCGUGGGUAACCUGCCUCACACUGGGGGACAACAGUUAGAAAUGACUGCUAAUACCGCAUAAGCGCACAGGACCGCAUGGUCUAGUGUGAAAAACUCCGGUGGUGUGAGAUGGACCCGCGUUUGAUUAGCUAGUUGGUGGGGUAACGGCCUACCAAGGCGACGAUCAGUAGCCGACCUGAGAGGGUGACCGGCCACAUUGGGACUGAGACACGGCCCAA